UACAGAGGGUGCAAGCGUUAAUCGGAAUUACUGGGCGUAAAGCGCGCGUAGGUGGUUCGUUAAGUUGGAUGUGAAAUCCCCGGGCUCAACCUGGGAACUGCAUUCAAAACGUCGAGCUAGAGUAUGGUAGAGGGUGGUGGAAUUUCCUGUGUAGCGGUGAAAUGCGUAGAUAUAGGAAGGAACACCAGUGGCGAAGGCGACCACCUGGACUGAUACUGACACUGAGGUGCGAAAGCGUGGGGAGCAAACAGG
rnacentral:rRNA from 1 species